rnacentral:rRNA from 1 species
UUGUCCUGAUGGCUCACAUGAAGUUUCGUGCCGUUCCGACCUCGUUUGAUACGGUUAUGGUUAACCACACGGCCCCUCGGGCCCGACCCGAGCCCAGUCAACGUUUUGACCCGAUCAAAUCGGCCCGUGACCCGAAACGACCCUACUUGGGCCCUACAACAGCCACGUAAAGUUUCGGGAUGAUCCGACGUUCUUUCAUGGGGUUACGGACAAUCCACGCCAAACAAGCGUCACGGGCCGACCGAGCCGGGCCAACGGGCCCUCGGGACCCGAAAACUGAAUUUUUUUUCAUCCAAACCCAUUAAAACACGUUACCGAGGUCUCACGCAAAAUUUCAUGCCAAUCCGACGUCGUUUGAUGGGGUUUUGAGAUAUUAUGAUUCCUCAAAAAUUUAAUGUCUGUUCCUGUCACUUAGCUUUUUGUGCAAAAUGUAUAUAUAGGGGAGGGGUGGGUGUUGAGCAGCCCAUGCCCGGGCAAGGCAUGCCAGCGCCCAAGCCAAAGGAGGCUGGUGGCGUGCGUAUAACAGCUCAAAUGCCCCAACGAUGACCGAGAACAAGCGCCCAUCUCCCCUCCUUCCCCCCCACCAAGCGCCCCUCCCCCCCCAUGUUGCCUGCCCACUCGCACAGCUACUCGUGAUUUCAUGCCCAGCGACUAGUGAAUGUGCCUCGACGACCAGCAAACCUCGAAAAUUAUGAUUCCUCGUAAAAUUAAUGUCUGUUCCUGUCACUUUACUUUUUGUGCAAAAUGUAUAUAUAGGGGAGACCAGGGGCUUGAGCAACCCCUGUGCCCAAGCAAGGGUCAGAUGGAAGCACACGAGACGCGAGGUUUAAAGCCUAUACAAGCAAGGCGUCUGUCUCCCCAAGCCCCAUUGCCAAUAAAACAAGCCCGAUGCCUUGUAAAUGCCCCACACGAUGCCUAUAAACGACAACGAUGUUUGCUAGUUAAUCGAUCGACGCCCCACACCUUGCAGCAUGUUGCCUAGUAAACAAGCCAUGCUGCCUUGGAAGCGCCCCACAUCAUGGCAUGUUGCCUAGCACGCUGCCCUUGUUUCCAGCACGGCGACCUGAAAGCGUGGCCUGACGACGUGCUUGCCUUCGAAAAUUAUGAUUCCUCAAAAAAUUAAUGUCUGUUCCUGUCACUUUACUUUUUGU